UUUACCGUACGUGUAACACAUGUUGUUGCACUAUUACUGAUCACCUGUAGCGACUAAAAAAUCUUUAGAAGAAUUGAGGUUUUAUUUGGAAAAAUAAUCGCAUCUUUAUUUUUUAAGAAAAAAAAGAAAGAAAAAGGGGAAGGAAUCUGACAAGACAAGAAGUGUUUGAUUGAAGAAAAAGGGUGAGAAAAGCUAGCUCAUAUAUCAAAACCGUCUUUUGGAUUUCUCAUGUCUUGUAGUUGUCCACACAACGCGGCUUUCAAUCUCGCUUUCAUUACCUUUGGCACUUUAAUUUGCUA
rnacentral:lncRNA from 1 species